AACAUGAGCAAGUCUAACAUUAAGCAACAUUUGAAACACUUGGAAAGACAUUAUUCGUUUUUGCUAUUUGAAGAUAGAUUCGCUCGCGUAGAAAAUGUUUAAUAACAAAAUGUUUGUCGUAUUGUUGAUUGGGUUCAUCAUUUUUGAGUUCAUUGCAAAUAGCGCGGGUACACCAAUUUCUGGAGAAUCUUCUGGUUCAUGUGAAGACUCUGGUGAAGUGUCAUCAAGAACUAAGAAAAAAGAUGAAUCUUCGCCAAAGAAGACUUAUGAAUCACAAACCUCAC